rnacentral:lncRNA from 1 species
UUUUUCUUAAGAACCAAACAGAUUGGGAAAAAAAAAAUAAUAAUUCAAGAUCUGAAAGAAAAGACAUAGAAAGCUCAAUAAUUAAUUAACAACAAUGGAGAAAAAUAAUCAUAUUGGAGACAAACCUGAAUAGAAAUUGAUUUCACGAUAAACUGAAGCGGAAGCUAAGGGCAGCGAUUGGAUUACGCCGGGAGCUAAAAGGUCAGAUGAAUUAGAGAGAAAAAAUAAAGAAAAAAUAACAAAUGGCGAAUGUUAGGCACAGAAAAAAAAUAAAGAAGAAGAG